GUAGGGAGCAAGCGUUAUCCGGAUUUAUUGGGUGUAAAGGGUGCGUAGACGGGAUAUUAAGUUAGUUGUGAAAUCCCUCGGCUUAACUGAGGAACUGCAACUAAAACUGGUAUUCUUGAGUGUUGGAGAGGAAAGUGGAAUUCCUAGUGUAGCGGUGAAAUGCGUAGAUAUUAGGAGGAACACCGGUGGCGAAGGCGACUUUCUGGACAAUAACUGACGUUGAGGCACGAAAGUGUGGGGAGCAAACAGGAUUAGAUACCCUGGUAGUCCACACCGUAAACGAUGGAUACUAGGUGUAGGGGAUGAUUUCAUCUUCUGUGCCGUCGCAAACGCAAUAAGUAUCCCACCUGGGGAGUACGGCCGCAAGGUUG
rnacentral:rRNA from 1 species